rnacentral:lncRNA from 1 species
CGGAUGUCGGAGACCUCUAGAAUGGUAGAAUCAUGUUUUAUAAAAAUGUUUUAAGGUGUUUUAUGAUUUUAAGUAUGAAAUUAAAUGAGUUUUUACAUGAAAAGUCCUUGGAGGAAAACCCAGGUUCGGCCGCCGAAAGUCAAGUUCGGCCGCCGAACAUGCAUGCGUUUUGGAGGCACGUUAGGCCCCCGAAAGCAUGAGUGAGG